UCGGUCCCUAUCUGCCGUGGGCGCUGGAGAAUUGAGGGGGGCUGCUCCUAGUACGAGAGGACCGGAGUGGACGCAUCACUGGUGUUCGGGUUGUCAUGCCAAUGGCACUGCCCGGUAGCUAAAUGCGGAAGAGAUAAGUGCUGAAAGCAUCUAAGCACGAAACUUGCCCCGAGAUGAGUUCUCCCUGAGACUUUAAGUCUCCUGAAGGAACGUUGAAGACGACGACGUUGAUAGGUCGGGUGUGUAAGCGCAGCGAUGCGUUGAGCUAACCGAUACUAAUGAACCGUGAGGCUUAACCUU
rnacentral:rRNA from 3 species